GAUGAACGCUGGCGGCGUGCCUAAUACAUGCGAGUCGAGCGAACAGAUGAGGAGCUUGCUCCUCUGACGUUAGCGGCGGACGGGUGAGUAACACGUGGAUAACCUACCUAUAAGACUGGGAUAACUUCGGGAAACCGGAGCUAAUACCGGAUAAUAUAUUGAACCGCAUGGUUCAAUAGUGAAAGACGGUUUUGCUGUCACUUAUAGAUGGAUCCGCGCCGCAUUAGCUAGUUGGUAAGGUAACGGCUUACCAAGGCAACGAUGCGUAGCCGACCUGAGAGAGUGAUCGGCCACACUGGAACUGAGACACGGUCCAGACUCCUACGGGAGGCAGCAGUAGGGAAUCUUCCGCAAUGGGCGAAAGCCUGACGGAGCAACGCCGCGUGAGUGAUGAAGGUCUUCGGAUCGUAAAACUCUGUUAUUAGGGAAGAACAAAUGUGUAAGUAACUAUGCACGUCUUGACGGUACCUAAUCAGAAAGCCACGGCUAACUACGUG
rnacentral:rRNA from 1 species